rnacentral:rRNA from 1 species
UACAGAGGGUGCAAGCGUUAAUCGGAAUUACUGGGCGUAAAGCGUGCGUAGACGGUUGCGUAAGUCAGAUGUGAAAGCCCCGGGCUCAACCUGGGAAUUGCAUUUGAGACUGAAUAGCUAGGGUGCGGAAGAGGGAAGCGGAAUUUCCGGUGUAGCGGUGAAAUGCGUAGAUAUCGGAAGGAACACCAGUGGCGAAAGCGACUUCCUGGACCAGUACCGACGUUCAGGCACGAAAGCGUGGGGAGCAAACAGG